rnacentral:rRNA from 1 species
GAUGAACGCUGGCGGCGUGCCUAAUACAUGCAAGUCGAGCGAACAGACGAGGAGCUUGCUCCUCUGACGUUAGCGGCGGACGGGUGAGUAACACGUGGAUAACCUACCUAUAAGACUGGGAUAACUUCGGGAAACCGGAGCUAAUACCGGAUAAUAUAUUGAACCGCAUGGUUCAAUAGUGAAAGACGGUUUUGCUGUCACUUAUAGAUGGAUCCGCGCCGCAUUAGCUAGUUGGUAAGGUAACGGCUUACCAAGGCAACGAUGCGUAGCCGACCUGAGAGGGUGAUCGGCCACACUGGAAGUGAGACACGGUCCAGACUCCUGCGGGAGGGAACAGUAGGGAAUCUUCCGCAGAGGGCGAAAGCUUGCCGGAACAACGGCGAGUGAGUGAUUAAGGUCCUCGGAUCGUAAAACUCUCUUAUUAGGGAAGAACAAAUGUGUAAGUAACUAUGCACGUCUUGACGGUACCUAAUCAGAAAGCCACGGCUAACUACGUG